rnacentral:rRNA from 1 species
UACGAAGGGGGCUAGCGUUGUUCGGAAUUACUGGGCGUAAAGGGCGCGUAGGCGGUGUGUCAAGUCAGGCGUGAAAGCCCCGGGCUCAACCUGGGAACCGCGCCUGAGACUGGCACGCUCGAGUUCGGGAGAGGAUGGUGGAAUUCCCAGUGUAGAGGUGAAAUUCGUAGAUAUUGGGAAGAACACCAGUGGCGAAGGCGGCUGACUGGUCCGGAUCUGACGCUGAGGCGCGAAAGCGUGGGGAGCAAACAGG